rnacentral:misc_RNA from 1 species
GUUUUACUAGUGCCUUGGAAAUAAGUUCUACUCACUGAUGGGACAAACUUGUAGAGCACAGGCAGUGUUCAGCAUAGAACACAUAGGAUAAAAGUCAUCCGCUUCAGUUAUUUUUUUUAUGUUCUUUAUGUUCUUUCUGCAAUAGGCUAUAAUGCAGCAAAUGAGGAAGCUUUCAAUGGAAUUACAUUGUUGGAACACUAAUUAUGUAGUAGGUGUGAAUAUAGGCUAUAUAAUACUGCAGACUUCAAAUUCUUUUGCACUAACUUGGAUUGGAAGCAGGGUUUUAAAUAAUAAAAUCAGAAUCAGUUUGGAAAUUGGAAAUAGUGUAACAGAAUCAGGUUGAAUCAGUCAGAAAUGAACUGAAUUGGCCAAUGAUUCUGAGAUUUUUUUUUUCAAACUCUUAGAAGACAUGGUUCUAAAUAACAGAAUUGGAAAUAGUGUAAUUGAAUUGGUCUGAAAUGGUUGGUAUUUAAAACCAUGGUUGGAAGGGGAUUGAGAAAUGUUUUUUAAAGUGUGUGAUUCCUUGGUGCAAGGAAUCUUGAGUGCAAUGAUGUUAGAAAUAUGAUUCAAAAUCCUAAUGGGAUUUGAAGAGAUCUUUUUCUAAUUUGAGUG